AUUGAACGCUGGCGGCAGGCUUAACACAUGCAAGUCGAGCGAGCGGCGGACGGGUGAGUAAUGUCUGGGAAACUGCCUGAUGGAGGGGGAUAACUACUGGAAACGGUCGCUAAUACCGCAUACCAUCAGAUGUGCCCAGAUGGGAUUAGCUAGUAGGUGGGGUAAUGGCUCACCUAGGCGACGAUCCCUAGCUGGUCUGAGGGGAUGACCAGCCACACGGGAACUGGAACCCGGUCCAGACUCCUACGGAGGGCACAGUUGGGGAAUAUGGCACAAUGGGCGCAAGCCUGAUGCAGCCAUGCCGCGGGUGUGAAGAAGGCCUUCGGGUUGUAAAGCACUUUCAGCGAGGAGGCGUUACUCGCAGAAGAAGCACCGGCUAACUCCGUGCCAGCAGCCGCGGUAAUUC
rnacentral:rRNA from 1 species